rnacentral:lncRNA from 1 species
CCAGACUCUCCUGUAAAGACAACAUAGUAAGGCCUUUGUGAGAUCAUUCACUCCAACUACUUCAAACGGCCAAAUUAUCAUUAAAUCAAAUGAAAAUAAAUCUGUUGAUCACUAACCACCUGAAAUCUAUCAUGUAAAUUCCUUUCAUUACUCUGGUUUAUCUUUUCUAGCGGCUCUUAAUCAUAUUGCAUGGAACUUGUUGAAACCGCAUAUUAAAUAAGAGCAAAAUUAUUCAAACCCAUGUGGUUGUAAAGGAAAUUUUCUGACUAAUCAAAUCUCAGUCCUUGAAACUGCAUAAAGGAACUUCGAGAUGAUGUCGAGCUGCUGGGUUGUUUUUGAGUUUUGAGGGAAACUUUCAAUGGUUAAAAGUAACUUUGCUCCCUAAGAAAUUUUCUAUGAUGUCAUUCUAACAAUUUACAGUGUCUUUGAUCAGAUAACCGAUUGUGAUGCCAGUAGCAGGCAAAACUAGUCAGUUCACAUGGGGUGUAAGGGACAUGAUGGAGAAAAAUGGCCUCAAGAAAACAGAAUGGCACAUAGGGUGAUGGUAGAAAAUCAAUCAGGGUGAGACUUGUUGCAUACAGAGUCAAAAGAAAUACAUAAACAAAUUAACUAGAAAGACAAGAAAGCAAACACUAAUAAUUGGAUUAGUACCUUGAUCAUAACAAUUUAGAUAGAGAUGGGUGUUAUCAAAUUGUUGAAAUUAUUAACGUGGACCCAUUAUGACAAAACUAAAGAGCAUUUAUGGGAGUUAAGGAAAGAAGGUUGUACCUGGAGUGUGUCUAACCAAAAAGGAUGAGAUUGACACUGGAAUUAUGUUGAAAUGACCUUGACGGCACAUGGGAGGACCCAAUCCAAAAGCCAGAGCUGAUGAGAUGACCCUAUUCCAAUUUUACCUAUAUACUCAAAGCAUCAAAAGGACUGAUACAAGUACCUAAGAAUGGCACCCCAGCUUUAAGGACAUGUACUCUGCACAAAUCCGCUCAUCAUGCAAAGCUUGAAACUGUGCAAUCUCUCAGAUUUGGUUUUG